AGUGAACGCUGGCGGUAGGCCUAACACAUGCAAGUCGAACGGCAGCACAGUAAGAGCUUGCUCUUACGGGUGGCGAGUGGCGGACGGGUGAGGAAUACAUCGGAAUCUACUUUUUCGUGGGGGAUAACGUAGGGAAACUUACGCUAAUACCGCAUACGACCUACGGGUGAAAGCAGGGGAUCUUCGGACCUUGCGCGAUUGAAUGAGCCGAUGUCGGAUUAGCUAGUUGGCGGGGUAAAGGCCCACCAAGGCGACGAUCCGUAGCUGGUCUGAGAGGAUGACCAGCCAACAUGGAACUGAGAACCGGUCCAACCCCCUACGGGAGGCAGCAGUGGGGAAUAUUGGAAAAUAGGCGCAAGCCGGAUCCAGCCAUACCGGGUGGGUGAAGAAGGCCUUGGGGUUGUAAAGCCCUUUUUUUGGGAAAGAAAAGCAGCAGGUUAAACCCCCGCUGUUCUGACGGUACCCAAAGAAUAAGCACCGGCUAACUUCGU
rnacentral:rRNA from 1 species